AUGCAUCUAUUUGACAGACCUGGAGUAGUUAUUGUUUGCCACUAAGAUUUCCACUACAGAUGCAAGAAAGAAGUGUCCUUGCGUUUCCUGUCUGAUUGUGGCAGCCAACAUUGAAUGGAGGCAAUACAGGG
rnacentral:snoRNA from 1 species